GAACGGGUGAGUAACACGUGGGCAAUCUGCCCUGCACUCUGGGACAAGCCCUGGAAACGGGGUCUAAUACCGGAUAUGAGCCUGGGAGGCAUCUCCCGGGUUGUAAAGCUCCGGCGGUGCAGGAUGAGCCCGCGGCCUAUCAGCUUGUUGGUGAGGUAAUGGCUCACCAAGGCGACGACGGGUAGCCGGCCUGAGAGGGCGACCGGCCACACUGGGACUGAGACACGGCCCAGACUCCUACGGGAGGCAGCAGUGGGGAAUAUUGCACAAUGGGCGAAAGCCUGAUGCAGCGACGCCGCGUGAGGGAUGACGGCCUUCGGGUUGUAAACCUCUUUCAGCAGGGAAGAAGCGAGAGUGACGGUACCUGCAGAAGAAGCGCCGGCUAACUACGUGCCAGCAGCCGCGGUAAUACGUAGGGCGCAAGCGUUGUCCGGAAUUAUUGGGCGUAAAGAGCUCGUAGGCGGCUUGUCACGUCGAUUGUGAAAGCCCGAGGCUUAACCUCGGGUCUGCAGUCGAUACGGGCUAGCUAGAGUGUGGUAGGGGAGAUCGGAAUUCCUGGUGUAGCGGUGAAAUGCNCAGAUAUCAGGAGGAACACCGGUGGCGAAGGCGGAUCUCUGGGCCAUUACUGACNCUGAGGAGCGAAA
rnacentral:rRNA from 1 species